rnacentral:rRNA from 1 species
CCUACGGGAGGCAGCAGUGAGGAAUAUUGGUCAAUGGGCGCGAGCCUGAACCAGCCACGUAGCGUGAAGGAUGACUGCCCUACGGGUUGUAAACUUCUUUUGUAAAGGAAUAAAGUGAGGCACCUGUGCCUUUUUGUAUGUCCUUUAUGAUUCAGGCUCGGCUAACUCCGUGCCAGCAGCCGCGGUAAUACGGAGGAUCCGAGCGUUAUCCGGAUUUAUUGGGUUUAAAGGGAGCGUAGAUGGGUUGUUAAGUCUGUUGGGAAAGUUUGCGGCUCAACCGUAAAAUUGCAAUUGAUACUGGCAGUCUUGAGUACAGUUGAGGUAGGCGGAAUUCGUGGUGUAGCGGUGAAAUGCUUAGAUAUCACGAAGAACUCCGAUUGCGAAGGCAGCUUACUAAACUGCCACUGACAUUGAGGCUCGAAAGUGUGGGUAGCAAACAGGAUUAGAUACCCUAGUAGUC